rnacentral:rRNA from 1 species
CUACGGGGUGCACCAGUGAGGAAUAUUGCACAAUGGGGGGAACCCUGAUGCAGCAACGCCGCGUGGAGGAUGACGCAUUUCGGUGUGUAAACUCCUUUUAUAUGUCAAGAAAAUGACGGUAGCAUAUGAAUAAGCACCGGCUAACUCCGUGCCAGCAGCCGCGGUAAUACGGAGGGUGCAAGCGUUACUCGGAAUCACUGGGCGUAAAGGACGCGUAGGCGGGCUGGAAAGUCAGGUGUGAAAUCCUACAGCUUAACUGUAGAACUGAACUUGAAACUUCUAAUCUAGAGUAUGGGAGGGGGAGAUGGAAUUAGUGGUGUAGGGGUAAAAUCCGUAGAUAUCACUAGGAAUACCUAAAGCGAAGGCGAUCUCCUGGAACAUUACUGACGCUAAGGCGUGAAAGCGUGGGAGCAAACAGGAUUAGAUACCCCCGUAGUC